UCUGCUGCAGUUUGAAGGUGCCGCCGCCUUAGCACAGCUGCUAGCAGAGUUUGAGAAGAAACUCUUCUCCCUAAGCACCUUUCCCUCUUACUUUAAAUGGGAACUGCUGUAACAACAUUGGCAGUGGCUUCUGACAGAGCUGAGGAGGAAGCAGCUGAGGGGCCACGACUAAUGGAAAAACAUCUGUACUAAAGUGUGUUCAAAGGAUCCAGAAACUAAGAGUGUUGAAGAGGAAAAGAAGAUAAACACAUCUGGAGUGUGUGCGUGCAACAAGCUGAGAUAAAAGCUUUUCAUUGUCAUCACCUAGAGGACCCGUCACUGGAAGCAGCUGAGAAGAGGUCUGGGCGUUUCCAUCUUAACAUGUCCUUGCUGAAAAGGCGUCCGCUGUACAGAUAGGAUGGCCUUGAGGAUGAACUUCUGAGCUGAGAUGAGAGGAACUGCAGGGUGCUCGCUGCACAGCCGGGGUGCAAGGAUCACCAAAGCAAACCCCUGCGUUGCUGGGUUGGUGUCGGAGCCUCAGGAGUGUGUUUAAUAUUUACUCUGGAAUUUUGAAUGGGGAUUUACAUGUGCCUCAUUCACCCUUAAUGUCACAUUUUUGUGCAUUUAGUAGAAAUAAAGGAUUUAA